rnacentral:rRNA from 1 species
AGUGAACGCUGGCGGUAGGCCUAACACAUGCAAGUCGAACGGCAGCACAGUAAGAGCUUGCUCUUACGGGUGGCGAGUGGCGGACGGGUGAGGUAUACAUCGGAAUCUACUUUUUCGUGGGGGAUAACGUAGGGAAACUUACGCUAAUACCGCAUACGACCUACGGGUGAAAGCAGGGGAUCUUCGGACCUUGCGCGAUUGAAUGAGCCGAUGUCGGAUUAGCUAGUUGGCGGGGUAAAGGCCCACCAAGGCGACGAUCCGUAGCUGGUCUGAGAGGAUGAUCAGCCACACUGGAACUGAGACACGGUCCAGACUCCUACGGGAGGCAGCAGUGGGGAAUAUUGGACAAAGGGCGCAAGCCUGAUCCAGCCAUACCGCGUGGGUGAAGAAGGCCUUCGGGUUGUAAAGCCCUUUUGUUGGGAAAGAAAAGCAGCAGGUUAAUACCCCGCUGUUCUGACGGUACCCAAAGAAUAAGCACCGGCUAACUUCGUG